rnacentral:rRNA from 1 species
UACGUAGGGGGCAAGCGUUGUCCGGAAUCAUUGGGCGUAAAGCGCGUGUAGGCGGCUAGGUAAGUCUGCUCUGAAAGCCCGGGGCUCAACCCCGGGAGGCGGGUGGAUACUGUCUAGCUCGAGUCCGGAAGAGGAGUGUGGAAUUCCUGGUGUAGCGGUGAAAUGCGCAGAUAUCAGGAGGAACACCAGUGGCGAAGGCGGCUUUCUGGCCUGUUCUUGACGCUGAGGCGCGAAAGCUAGGGGAGCGAACGGG